CACGUAGGCGGUUGCGUCAGUCGAUUGUGAAAGCCCCGGGCUUAACCUGGGAAUUGCAGUCGAUACUGCGUUACUAGAGUGUGGUAGAGGGAAGCGGAAUUCCGGGUGUAGCGGUGAAAUGCGUAGAUAUCCGGAGGAACACCAGUGGCGAAGGCGGCUUCCUGGACCAACACUGACGCUGAGGUGCGAAAGCGUGGGGAGCAAACA
rnacentral:rRNA from 1 species